ensembl:lncRNA
CCAAUUUGAUUUGAUUGAAAAGCCAAUUGAUUGAAGCUAGGACAUGUAAGCCAUCAGCUAGCAACCAGCAGGGGAAUGAAAACGGAUGUGAAAGAGAGGGAUUUGAUUGAUUACCUGAUUGAUUAAGUGAUGUAGAUGCUAAGUUAAAAAAGCCAUCGCCGGCCCCUUUAUAUGUGUUUAACCCCGCUUCCACACUAACCUUCAGUCUGUAAGCCGCUCAGCAGGGUCCAUUACAUCUAAGUGUGAAUAAUUCAUGCUCUGGAUGCUGUAGCAUGAAGAAAGAAAGUCAUACAAGUUUGGAACAACAUUAGGAUUCAGAUGCUCUGGCAUCUGGAGGCCAGGAUCUGUAGCAUGUGUUUUGUGUGAGAACGCUGGCCACUUCUUAACUUGUUUGUGUUC